UACAGAGGGGGCAAGCGUUGUUCGGAAUUACUGGGCGUAAAGGGCGCGUAGGCGGCCCGCUAAGUCGAACGUGAAAUCCCCGAGCUCAACUCGGGAACUGCGUCCGAUACUGGUGGGCUUGAAUCCGGGAGAGGGAUGCGGAAUUCCAGGUGUAGCGGUGAAAUGCGUAGAUAUCUGGAGGAACACCGGUGGCGAAGGCGGCGUUCUGGACUGCUACUGACACUGAGGAACGAAAGCCAGGGGAGCAAACGGG
rnacentral:rRNA from 1 species